AUGGAGUUCGCUGUUUCGCCCAGGCUGGAGUGAAGUGGUGCGAUCUCAGCUCACUGCAACCUCCACCACCAGGGUUCAAGCGAUUCUCCUGCCUCAGCCACCAUGAUUUAACAUUGAGAAGUGGGCAGUCACAGAGAAACAGUUUGGAAUAGUUCACCAGUGAAGUCAUCUCAACCAGCACAGGGCCUUGAUUCCCAACAACAAUCACAUGAACUUGGAAGAGCAUCCUUCCCCAGCUGAACCUUCACCUGAGACCUCGUCCUUGGCCAUCAUCUACAUCUGGAUUCAUGAUACAGAGAAACUGUGAGUAAGAGCCACUUAGUGUGUGAGAAUUUAUUAUUCAGCAAUAAAUAAUACACCUGACAG
rnacentral:lncRNA from 1 species